rnacentral:rRNA from 1 species
CAGCCGCCGCGGGAAAACGAAGGGGGCUAGCGUUGUUCCGAUUUACUGGGCGUAAAGGGUGCGUAGGCGGAUUGUUAAGUCAGGGGUGAAAUCCCGAGGCUCAACCUCGGAACUGCCUUUGAUACUGGCGAUCUUGAGUCCGGGAGAGGUGAGUGGAACUGCGAGUGUAGAGGUGAAAUUCGUAGAUAUUCGCAAGAACACCGGUGGCGAAGGCGGCUCACUGGCCCGGUACUGACGCUGAGGCGCGAAAGCGUGGGGAGCAAACAGGAUUAGAUACCCUGUAGUCCCUGUCUCUUAUACA